rnacentral:rRNA from 1 species
UACGUAGGGUGCGAGCGUUGUCCGGAAUUAUUGGGCGUAAAGAGCUCGUAGGCGGCCUGUUGCGUCCGCUGUGAAAGCCCGGGGCUUAGCCCCGGGUCGCAGUGGAUACGGGCAGGCUAGAGGUAGGUAGGGGAGAAUGGAAUUCCCGGUGUAGCGGUGAAAUGCGCAGAUAUCGGGAGGAACACCGGUGGCGAAGGCGGUUCUCUGGGCCUUACCUGACGCUGAGGAGCGAAAGCGUGGGGAGCGAACAGG